rnacentral:misc_RNA from 1 species
GCAAACUUGGUCAUUUAGAGGAAGUAAAAGUCGUAACAAGGUCUCCGUAGGUGAACCUGCGGAGGGAUCAUUACUGAGUCCUGCCUCUAGGCAGAUCUCCCACCCACUGUGAUCACUACUCUCGUUGCCUUGGCGGGCACUGUCCCGCCCGCCAAAGGGACCCCUAAACCCUGAUUGUCGGUGUUGUCCGAGUCUAGUUUAUAGCGAUUAAAACUUUCAACAACGGAUCUCUUGGUUCUGGCAUCGAUGAAGAACGCAGC